rnacentral:rRNA from 1 species
UACGUAGGGGGCAAGCGUUGUCCGGAUUUAUUGGGCGUAAAGAGCGUGUAGGCGGCCAUGCAGGUCCGUUGUGAAAACUCGAGGCUCAACCUCGAGACGCCGAUGGAAACCGCAUGGCUAGAGUCCGGAAGAGGAGAGUGGAAUUCCUGGUGUAGCGGUGAAAUGCGCAGAUAUCAGGAAGAACACCCGUGGCGAAGGCGGCUCUCUGGGACGGUACUGACGCUGAGACGCGAAAGCGUGGGGAGCGAACAGG